rnacentral:rRNA from 1 species
AUUGAACGCUGGCGGCAUGCUUUACACAUGCAAGUCGAACGGCAGCGCGGGCUUCGGCCUGGCGGCGAGUGGCGAACGGGUGAGUAAUGCAUCGGAACGUGCCCAGUAGUGGGGGAUAGCCCGGCGAAGGCCGGAUUAAUACCGCAUAAGACCUGAGGGUGAACGCGGGGGACCGAAAGGCCUCGCGCUCUUGGAGCGGCCGAUGUCGGAUUAGCUAGUUGGUGGGGUAAAGGCUUACCAAGGCGACGAUCCGUAGCUGGUCUGAGAGGACGACCAGCCACACUGGGACUGAGACACGGCCCAGACUCCUACGGGAGGCAGCAGUGGGGAAUUUUGGACAAUGGGCGCAAGCCUGAUCCAGCCAUGCCGCGUGCGUGAAGAAGGCCUUCGGGUUGUAAACCGCUUUUGUUCGGGAAGAAAACCUCUGGGCUAAUACCCCGGGGGGAUGACGGUACCGGAAGAAUAAGCACCGGCUAACUACGUG